CCUACGGGCGGCUGCAGUGAGGAAUAUUGGUCAAUGGGCGAGAGCCUGAACCAGCCAAGUCGCGUGAAGGAUGACGGCCCUACGGGUUGUAAACUUCUUUUGUCAGGGAGCAAGGGAGGCCACGUGUGGGCUUAGCGAGAGGACCUGAAGAAAAAGCAGCGGCUAACUCCGUGCCAGCAGCCGCGGUAAUACGGAGGAUGCGAGCGUUAUCCGGAUUUAUUGGGUUGAACGGGUGCGUAGGCGGAAGAUCAAGUCAGCGGUAAAAAUUCGGGGCUCAACCCCGUCGUGCCGUUGAAACUGCUGUUCUUGCGUGGGCGAGCAGUAUGCGGAAUGCGUGGUGUAGCGGUGACAUGCCUAGAUAUCACGCAGAACUCCGAUUGCGAAGGCAGCAUACCGGCGCCCAACUGACGCUGACGCACGAACGCGUGGGUAUCGAACAGGAUUAGAUACCCCUGUAGUC
rnacentral:rRNA from 1 species